rnacentral:rRNA from 1 species
GACGAACGCUGGCGGCGUGCUUAACACAUGCAAGUCGAACGGAAAGGCCCUGCUUUUGUGGGGUGCUCGAGUGGCGAACGGGUGAGUAACACGUGAGUAACCUGCCCUUGACUUUGGGAUAACUUCAGGAAACUGGGGCUAAUACCGGAUAGGAGCUCCUGCUGCAUGGUGGGGGUUGGAAAGUUUCGGCGGUUGGGGAUGGACUCGCGGCUUAUCAGCUUGUUGGUGGGGUAGUGGCUUACCAAGGCUUUGACGGGUAGCCGGCCUGAGAGGGUGACCGGCCACAUGGGGACUGAGAUACGGCCCAGACUCCUACGGGAGGCAGCAGUGGGGAAUAUUGCACAAUGGGCGGAAGCCUGAUGCAGCAACGCCGCGUGCGGGAUGACGGCCUUCGGGUGGUAAACCGCUUUAGCCUGUGACGAAGCGUGAGUGACGGUAAUGGGUAAAGAAGCACCGGCUAACUACGU